rnacentral:rRNA from 1 species
AUUGAACGCUGGCGGCAUGCCUUACACAUGCAAGUCGAACGGCAGCGGACCUUCGGGUGCCGGCGAGUGGCGAACGGGUGAGUAAUGCAUCGGAACGUGCCAUUGAGUGGGGGAUAACGUAGCGAAAGUUGCGCUAAUACCGCAUAUUCUGUGAGCAGGAAAGCAGGGGGACCGCAAGGCCUUGCGCUCUUUGAGCGGCCGAUGUCAGAUUAGCUAGUUGGUGAGGUAACGGCUUACCAAGGCGACGAUCUGUAGCGGGUCUGAGAGGAUGAUCCGCCACACUGGAACUGAGACACGGUCCAGACUCCUACGGGAGGCAGCAGUGGGGAAUUUUGGGACAAUGGGGGCAACCCUGAUCCAGCCAUGCCGCGUGAGUGAAGAAGGCCUCGGUUGUAAG